UUGCUUCAGCAGCAUAUAUACUAAAAUUGGAAUGAUACAGAGAAGAUUAGCAUGGACACGGUUCAAGGAUGACACACAAAGUCAUGAAGUGUUCCACAUAUUU
rnacentral:snRNA from 1 species